rnacentral:rRNA from 1 species
GAUGAACGCUAGCUACAGGCUUAACACAUGCAAGUCGAGGGGAAACGACAUCGAAAGCUUGCUUUUGAUGGGCGUCGACCGGCGCACGGGUGAGUAACGCGUAUCCAACCUGCCCAUCACUUGGGAAUAACCUUGCGAAAGUAAGACUAAUACCCAAUGAUAUCCCACGAAGGCAUCGGAAUGGGAUUAAAGAUUUAUCGGUGAUGGAUGGGGAUGCGUCUGAUUAGCUUGUUGGCGGGGUAACGGCCCACCAAGGCAACGAUCAGUAGGGGUUCUGAGAGGAAGGUCCCCCACAUUGGAACUGAGACACGGUCCAAACUCCUACGGGAGGCAGCAGUGAGGAAUAUUGGUCAAUGGGCGAGAGCCUGAAACAGCCAAGUAGCGUGCAGGAAGACGGCCCUAUGGGUUGUAAACUGCUUUUAGAAGGGAAUAAAGUGGGUCACGUGUGACUUUUUGCAUGUACCUUAUGAAUAAGGACCGGCUAAUUCCGUG